rnacentral:rRNA from 1 species
ACUUAGUGGCGGACGGGUGAGUAACGCGUGGAUAACCUGCCUUACACUGGGGGAUAACACUUAGAAAUAGGUGCUAAUACCGCAUAAGCGCACGGAGCCGCAUGGCUCAGUGUGAAAAACUCCGGUGGUGUAAGAUGGAUCCGCGUCUGAUUAGCUGGUUGGCGGGGUAGAAGCCCACCAAGGCGACGAUCAGUAGCCGGCCUGAGAGGGUGACCGGCCACAUUGGGACUGAGACACGGCCCAAACUCCUACGGGAGGCAGCAGUGGGGAAUAUUGCACAAUGGGGGAAACCCUGAUGCAGCAACGCCGCGUGAGUGAAGAAGUCAUUCGUGAUGUAAAGCUCUAUCAGCAGGGAAGAAAAUGACGGUACCUGAGUAAGAAGCCCCGGCUAACUACGUGCCAGCAGCCGCGGUAAUACGUAGGGGGCAAGCGUUAUCCGGAUUUACUGGGUGUAAAGGGAGCGUAGACGGCCAGACAAGUCUGAAGUGAAAAUCCAGCGCUUAACGUUGGAAGUGCUUUGGAAACUGCCGGGCUAGAGUGCAGGAGGGGCAGGCGGAAUUCCUAGUGUAGCGGUGAAAUGCGUAGAUAUUAGGAGGAACACCAGUGGCGAAGGCGGCCUGCUGGACUGCAACUGACGUUGAGGCUCGAAGGCGUGGGGAGCAAACAGGAUUAGAUACCCUGGUAGUCCACGCGGUAAACGAUGAUUACUAGGUGUCGGGGGGCUAGAGCCCUUCGGUGCCGUCGCAAACGCAAUA